rnacentral:misc_RNA from 1 species
GGCUGUCGCUGACCUUUUCGGUCGUGCACGCCCGAGUGCUCUCACACAAUCCAUCUCACCCCUUGUGCACCACCGCGUGGGUCCCUCUCUGGCUCGUCCGGAGGGGGGCUCGCGUUUUCACACAAACUUGAAGUAGUGUAGAAUGUCCUUUUUUGCGAUAACACGCAAUCAAUACAACUUUCAACAACGGAUCUCUUGGCUCUCGCAUCGAUGAAGAACGCAGCGAAAUGCGAUACGUAAUGUGAAUUGCAGAAUUCAGUGAAUCAUCGAAUCUUUGAACGCACCUUGCGCCCCUUGGCAUUCCGAGGGGCACACCCGUUUGAGUGUCGUGAAAUUCUCAAAACCCUUUCUUUUGGUCAUUUUUGACCAUGGAAAGGAUUUUGGACUUGGAGGCCUUUUUGCUGGUUUCAACCUUGAAGCGAGCUCCUCCCAAAUGUAUUAGUGGGGUCUGCAUUGUCGGUCCUUGGCGUGAUAAGUUGUUUCUACGUCUUGGAUUUUUUGGCGCUGUACACCUGCUUCUAACCGUCUCAUUGACAACGAUGGUGUUCCGGUCGCCGC